rnacentral:rRNA from 1 species
AGGAGUUUGAUCCUGGCUCAGGAUGAACGCUAGCGGCAGGCUUAAUACAUGCAAGUCGAGGGGCAGCGCAGUGUAGCAAUACAUGGGCGGCGACCGGCAAGCGGGUGCGGAACACGUACGCAACCUUCCUUUAACUGGAGAAUAGCCCGGGGAAACCCGGAUUAAUACUCCGUAACAUUAUGAAGUGGCAUCACUUUAUAAUUAUAGCUCAGGCGGCUAAAGAUGGGCGUGCGUCUGAUUAGGUAGUUGGCGGGGUAACGGCCCACCAAGCCUACGAUCAGUAACUGGUGUGAGAGCACGACCAGUCACACGGGCACUGAGACACGGGCCCGACUCCUACGGGAGGCAGCAGUAAGGAAUAUUGGUCAAUGGACGCAAGUCUGAACCAGCCAUGCCGCGUGGAGGAUGAAGGUCCUCUGGAUUGUAAACUUCUUUUAUUUGGGAAGAAACCCACGGUUUCUACUGUGGUUGACGGUACCAGAUGAAUAAGCACCGGCUAACUCCGUGCCAGCAGCCGCGGUAAUACGGAGGGUGCAA